GCUUUCUCUCCGACCGCUGAUCUCUGUCGCUGAUCUGUCCCGGAGGCUGGAGUCAGUCUCUCUCCGCUUUCUUCACUUAAAAAUGUAAGGCACACACCGCCACGCAGUCGAUGGGGCUUCUGAAGGCUGCUGAAAACGGGUAAAAAGAAGGCCAAGAGAGAUUCCGUGAUUUUUUUCUUUUUAAUGUCGCUUAAAUUCCAAAGCAAGGCCCAGUGGUGAUCCAAGUUGGAGACUAGAAUUCCCCAAUCCGAAAUUCCUCAACUAAACUGACGGACAACCAAGUUAAUAAAACUUUUUGCACGGAUGAUAAUUCAGAUUGAAGACUAGUUCACCAUACUGUAAAGACCUUUAAAAGGCCUAACAUUUAUGCAUUUCAGCCUUUCGAACAAACCUUUCCAGUAGGACUCAGUAGCCUGACCUAUCUGAUGAACAGAGCACUGGAGGUUCCAGGAUACAUGCCCAAGGGCUGAUAAGUACCAAAAUGGUUUGACUCUAAGAACAAAUCGAGAAGGAUGGCUCUCCAGAAACAAGGGCCUUCCCAAUGCCCAGAACCAGAGUUUGAAGGACUUGUGUGGAAUUGGCUGUGCACACUUACAAAAGAGGAUAAACCCAAAAGAUAGUUUGCUCGGGGCUAGCCUGUUCUACUUGGGGAUUUCCAGGCCAAGCAGAGCUACAGGGUGAAGCUCUCUACUCAUCGGAUGGGGAGGGAAAGGCGCUCUGACACUGGACUUUGAAAUGAGUUUUCUUCAAUGCACUUGAAUUAAGUCAGUGUUAAAAUGUGUUUAGAAGCAGGAUGUGGAGAUGCUCGCUUUCAUUAGAGGCAAGCAAAUCCUCCUGAGUCAACCACUGCUCCAUAGUGUGGCCUUGUCUCAAAAACAAAAGUGUGGACGCGCACUCAGACAACAGCCUGCAGCCAUCAACCAUUAGCCACAUAGGAAGAUACCAACUGGGUGAUAAGAUGAAACAAAACCACAAUUUUCAUUUCACCACAGAAAAUCCACAGAGCUAGUAGCCCACGGACAAAGUGGUAUAGCUGUAAAAGAAGUCUCAAGUCUAGGUAGGUUAGUGAUCUUCCAAGAUGCAAAUUAAGUUAAUGUUUCAUUCCACUGAAACAAAAGGACAGAGAUUGGCUGUUUCUACGAUCCCUUCUUGAAAGCUGCAACAUGGAUACUGGUUUCUUUAGAUGACGUCAGCGGUGAUGGGAGUGCUGAAGAGAAAUGAGAGAAGAUUAAAGGGCCUUUGGUGCUUUCUGCAUCCAGGACCCUGGAAAAAGUCCUUACUCACAGCACAUCGCCCCAAAUAGCAUCCCAACGUGUCUACUUCACUGCUAAACAGCUAGAACCACUACCUCCCUUUCCCUUUCUCACACCGGCUCUGAAACCCCUGAUUAGCUCCUCUUUGCCCUGGCAUUCCAUCUUUAUCUUUGAAACUUAGAUGUGGCUGAGCCCUGCCCCCCCCCACACACACACACACCAUCACCAUUCCAUUACUAAAUAGCCUCUGUCUCAUUCCUCCCCUUGACUGGCUCCUUCCUGGUUGUCUCUCUAACCUUCACUGCUGGCUUCUUGCUCUCCUUUCUUUGCUCAGGCUCCAGCCACUGGAGCAUUAAUUCAUCUGACUGUGCGCCUGUGUACAAAGUCCUAUUUUUUCCCCCUUCACCCCAAGCCUCUCAUUGCCAAUGGAGGUUCUAGCCUUCACCCAGCCUCCUCUCUAAUGAACUCAGUCAGUUCUUGUAAACCAAUAUUAAGUAUCCAUCAGCCCAUUCCACACCGUAAACUUUGCUAAGCCAUGCAUAGUGGUGUGACAGGGAGUCUAAACCAAGUCAUCAUGGAAAGGAAGACCUGGUUAACUAAGGAGUGUCCCUGCCCAUGCCCACCCAUGUUUAAAGGGCAGAUAUCACUCAGCUCCGGACAAUUCCUGCCAUGCAGGGAUGUUGACCUCAUGUUGCUAGAACUUCCAGUUACUUAAGAGAAGCUAGAAAUCCAAACUUAUGUAUAGAUGUCUCUAAUUUUUACACUGUGACAGCCAAUCACAUUUCUCAAUUUUGUGCAGCCAAAGUAAGUUAGCUGUCUGAGUUUAGCUUGUAGAAACUGAGUGGACUAGCUGUAGUCUCGUUGGCAAAAGGCAUACACUUCUGAGUAAAGAUUGGCUUAUAUCCUAACUUCCUUUCUUCUGCGCUGUAAAUGGUAUUAGAGAUUAUGUGUUUAUGAGAUUAUGAAUUAGAGAUUAUGUACAGUUUGAAUGUAUAUCGCCCUCAUUCAUCCCCCCUCUUCAUUAGAUAAAAACUGUCAAUUGUUCUUCAA
rnacentral:lncRNA from 1 species